AUUGAACGCUGGCGGCAUGCCUUACACAUGCAAGUCGAACGGCAGCACGGGAGCAAUCCUGGUGGCGAGUGGCGAACGGGUGAGUAAAGCAUCGGAACGUGCCCAGUCGUGGGGGAUAACGUAGCGAAAGUUACGCUAAUACCGCAUACGAUCUAUGGAUGAAAGCGGGGGAUCGCAAGACCUCGCGCGAUUGGAGCGGCCGGUAUCAGAUUAGGUAGUUGGUGGGGUAAAGGCUCACCAAGCCGACGAUCUGUAGCUGGUCUGAGAGGACGACCAGCCACACUGGGACUGAGACACGGCCCAGACUCCUACGGGAGGCAGCAGUGGGGAAUUUUGGACAAUGGGCGAAAGCCUGAUCCAGCCAUGCCGCGUGCAGGAUGAAGGCCUUCGGGUUGUAAACUGCUUUUGUACGGAACGAAAAGGUUUGGCCUAAUAAGCUGAGCUCAUGACGGUACCGUAAGAAUAAGCACCGGCUAACUACGUGCCAGCAGCCGCGGUAA
rnacentral:rRNA from 1 species